AAGCAAAGUCUAAAUCUUCCCCCUGUUGAAUCAUGAUAUAUUCACUUAAUUUAACUACAACAUUUGCUUUAGAGCAUCCUUCAAAAUCCGAGCUCAUGAUCAAUAAAAGAACAGUAACACCAUAAAACUUGCCACUACAUAAAAGACACUCUCCAAAUCAAGAAUUAAGACACAAUUGUUAUAAAGAACAAGCAUGCGAAAUUUACCUCCACCAACACCAUCA
rnacentral:misc_RNA from 1 species